CCUACGGGAGGCUGCAGUGAGGACUAUUGGUCAAUGGUCGGGAGACUGAACCCGCCAAGCCGCGUGAGGGAGGACGGUACAGAGUAUCGUAAACCUCUUUUGUCAGGGAACAAAGGCGGGGACGUGUCCCCGGAUGAGUGUACCUGAAGAAAAAGCAUCGGCUAACUCCGUGCCAGCAGCCGCGGAACUACGGGGGAUGCGAGCGUUAUCCGGAGUUAUUGGGGUUACAGGGUGCGCAGGCGGUCGGUUAAGUCAGCGGUCAAAUCCCGGGGCUCAACCCCGGCACGCCGUUGAAACUGGCAGUCUCGAGUUGGAGAGAAGUAUGCGGAAUGCGCGGUGGAGCGGUGAAAUGCAUAGA
rnacentral:rRNA from 1 species